UUGGCUAUACGAUUGAGGAAGCCUCUAAAGGAAAUUGAGGUCUUUUAAGUGUAGCCUAUUGGAGAUUACGUCCUAUUGUAUUUGAUAAGUACAUUUAUGAAAGUGCAAGAACUGUAUUCAUUGUGGUAAAAUUUGUAACUGUUUUAUUACAUGACAUUAAAAUCAUAGAGGAUACGUAUGCAUGCAUACUAUACAAAAACUAUUGAUUUAAUAUAACGAUAAAAACUACAUACCUUAUUCAGUGCAGUACUCACUGUCACAAUACGUGAUUUAGGACACUUGUGGAGGUGGAGUGGAGAAGUCACUUACAAAUGAAUAAAAGUUUCCCCUUCAUAAUAUAAAUUAUAAUAAAUUUGCAUCUGACCGCCCCACCAACGCCCACUUUACCUGAUUCGUAGUCCAGCUAGCAGCGGUGCGCAGUAAACAGGUGCGCAAUCCGCCAUUAAACCAAACGAAGGAGAAGACGAUGAAGUAAACAGGUGGCUCCUCAGAUCGCGGUCUACACAGUUAAGUGCAUCUAAAGUUUACAUCAACAUGGAUUACACAAAAAUGAAUAUGAUGCGAAGAUGAAAAUGGAGUAGCAUUGUGCUGUUUGUUUGUGUCGCAAAACACAAUUUUUACCAGAGGAGCGUUGUGUUACCGUUACUUUUUAACGUCGAGUGGCAUUCGGGGAUUAACUUGUUUGUUUUGAGCAUUUUACUGAAGAUUGUUUUGCAAAAUAAACAAACUUUAAUCAAGGCUACGUUGGAGCAGUGCAACUUGUUUUGGAUACGACGGCGGACAAGUAGCAAACUAAGCUGCAGCGUUGCUGAGGACCACAUGUCAAUCACCACAGAGCAGAGGAGCAAGGUCCUGGAUGCAGGCUUGAAACAAUGGCAACAUACCAACAGCUACUGUACCAGACUCGACGUGAGAUAAUGUUGCCAUACAAGUGGACAGUUUGUAAUUGUGUCAUUGUAAUGUCAUUUUAUUUAUCAUGUAUUUUGAUGAUGUGUGGCUAAAUGAAAAUAAAGAUCAGACAAAAGCAGAAAA